AGUGAACGCUGGCGGUAGGCCUAACACAUGCAAGUCGAACGGCAGCACAGUAAGAGCUUGCUCUUACGGGUGGCGAGUGGCGGACGGGUGAGGAAUACAUCGGAAUCUACUUUUUCGUGGGGGAUAACGUAGGGAAACUUACGCUAAUACCGCAUACGACCUACGGGUGAAAGCAGGGGAUCUUCGGGCCUUGCGCGAUUGAAUGAGCCGAUGUCGGAUUAGCUAGUUGGCGGGGUAAAGGCCCACCAAGGCGACGAUCCGUAGCUGGUCUGAGAGGAUGAUCAGCCACACUGGAACUGAGACACGGUCCAGACUCCUACGGGAGGCAGCAGUGGGGAAUAUUGGACAGUGGGCGCAAGCCUGAUCCAGCCAUACCGCGUGGGUGAAGAAGGCCUUCGGGUUGUAAAGCCCUUUUGUUGGGAAAGAAAAGCAGCAGGUUAAUACCCCGCUGUUCUGACGGUACCCAAAGAAUAAGCACCGGCUAACUUCGUG
rnacentral:rRNA from 1 species